rnacentral:rRNA from 1 species
UACGGGGGGAGCAAGCGUUGUUCGGAUUUACUGGGCGUAAAGGGCGCGUAGGCGGUCAGCACAAGUCAGUUGUGAAAUCUCCGGGCUUAACUCCGAAACUGCAUUCGAUACUGCGGUGCUUGAGGACUGGAGAGGAGACUGGAAUUCAUGGUGUAGCAGUGAAAUGCGUAGAGAUCAUGAGGAAGACCAGUGGCGAAGGCGGGUCUCUGGGCCGAUACUGACGCUGAGGAGCGAAAGCGUGGGGAGCGAACAGG